rnacentral:snoRNA from 1 species
GACCAAUGAUGUCAAGAUUCUGCCAAAUGAAAUCUCAUGAUUAUACUCUUUACCGUUCCAUUUUGUCUGAGGUC